CUAUACUAACUCCCAAACCUGCAGUUAGUUUACUUCAUACAGAAUCUAGUCAUGAGAAGAAUGAUUCCAUUGAAAAGGUUCAUGAGGAAAUAGAGGUAGAAACACAGAGUAGCAUCUAAGAAAAAAGGUUGGACAUCUUUGUUGUCAUGGAAACCCAAUCAGACCCAUGUAUCAAUCCUUCUCUCGUCUAGGAUUUCCUGGUUUUGCUUUUUCUGAAUCUAAAGGCUUUGCGGGUGGCAUAGCCAUGGGGUGGAAAGCUAACAAAUUGCAAGUUCAUAUUUUGAAGAGCCACUUCCAAUUUCUCCAUUCUAGAAUUAUCAUCGAGGAAGGUAAAAUAGUGUCACCAGACUAUUAAAAUCUGAUUGAUAAGAUACUGAGAUCAAGCAAGUGCUCUUUGAUAUGGCAGCUUGGAAGUCCCCUAGGCUUGAUGGUUUUUCUGUGGGUUUCUAUCAAAACACAAGGAACCUCACUGGUGAGAACAUCUUUUCUCUUACCCAACAACUUUGGCAUAAGGAUGCUUCUCUAGGAAAUUCUGCAUAUUACGCACAGAUCCAGGAGUAAAGUGGGUUCCUUCGCUAUCAAGGUCGACCUUGACAAGGCCUAUGAUAAUAUAAGUUAGAACUUCAUUAACAAUGCUAUGUCUGAAGUUAAGGUUCUUGAUAACCUGAAGGAUCUCAUCAUGCUUGUUGUAACCUCGGUCAGGAUGGGAGUUUUACGGAAAGGUGAAAAAUGUGAGUUUUUCGAGGCCUAUUAAGAUAAGGUGACCCCUAUCUUCUUACUUGUUCAUCAUUUGUAUGGAAAAACUCUCUCACUUAAUUCAUGAUGUUGUGGAGUCUAA